CUACUGCCUUGUCUUUCUUUCCUCGUCCACAGGGCGGCUCUCGGAGCAGGAUGCGGCCCGGAUGCCCACAAGGCCUGCGUAAUCCCUGCAGGAUGGACAGGGGACCACGGAGCUGCCUCGACCUCCUUCCCCCCGCCGCCCCCGCGGAGGCUGGAGGGCGGCAGGGCUCUGCCUGCCGGUGCUGCCCCGUCGGCCGCGGAAAGGGAAAUAACUGCCGAGACGCCCUAAAGAGCAGAUGACGAGGGUGCUUCCGGAUAGCGUUUGCUGCUUCCUCCAUGGGAGAAACCUCCUUUCCUCCACUUUUUUUCUGUGGAGCGAGCGACCCCGCAGGUCCCUCGAGCAAGGGAGGCGGUGGCACGAGCUCUGCGGUGACUCAAAGCCCAGGAGACUGAGGAGGGAAGGAAAAAAAAUAAAAAGUAGAGUGAAAGAAUGAAACCUGAAUUAUCUCCGAGCUGGGUAGGGCUGCGCUUUUAUCGGAGCUGAAUGGCCUGGGGCUAAGCUGAGCAAUACUGGUGUGACCGGGAGUGUUUCUCCCGGGUGGAGUCGGCACACGGAUUUAAUACCUCGGCGCCGCCGGGUGGGGAAAGGCAGCCCCAGAGCGAAGGCGGAAGGUGCCCGAUGCGGCUCCCUUCGGUGUCCGUGGGGAAAGGCAGCUCUUCGCCUCCCUUCGAGCGCUUUUGUGGCGCUCUGAGGUUCUGGACCGCUGUCUCGCAGCCCGGGGAUGUCCCGUGUAGAAGCGUUUAGGGCUCGGCCUUAUUACUGGUUUGGCUCUUGGGCUUAUUCUUAGUACCAAAGAGAUGAGGAGGAGAGAAGCGAAUGCACCUGGCAGGCUCUGAGGUGCCCCGACGCGUCCACUCACUCCCUUCGCAUCCCAGCUGGAGCUCCUUCGCUCUCCCGUCGCCAAACGGACGGCGGAAGGCCACCAAGGCCCAGUGAUCGGCCACGAACUCGGAGGACUGCCCUGAGCAAGAGUCCCCGAAUCCCUUCCCCGGCCUCCGCGUUGGGUCCCCGAGUUAGCUAGGAGUCUUGCAGGCUGCCGAGUUGUGCUGGUGUUUAUAAAGCCUCGAAUAUUUAAGCGGAGGAGCAGCCCCAGGAGCAAACAGCUCGAGCUCCAGGAGCGGAGGGAGAGGCCGAGGUCGGCAAAGUGCUGCAGAAAGACCGGAGCGCCCCGAGGACGUGUUUCGUCUCGACCAGAGCCGCCUCCGCAUUGCGGCGCCGGGACGCGUCGGCCGCCCAUGGACCGACCCUGCUCUUUGGGAGCUUUUUCUCCUUCACUUGGCAAUUCAAGGCGUCAGCGGGUGCUGGUUGCACCGGGCUGUGGUUUCUCUGGCUCACCUGCGCUGAGGGAUGGCCCCGGGCUCUGUGGCUGCACCCUGAACCGCGGCAGAGCCCUCUUAUGCAAGGAAA